GUCUACAUAAAAAAGAUGUAUGUAGUCUAACCUGCUCACUGAGUUUUAAGCUUAAAGAGCCGCGGUAUUUUGACCGUGCAAAGGUAGCAUAGUAAUUAGCUUUUUAAUUGAAAGCUUGUAUGAAUGGUUGAACAAGAGAAAUACUGUCUCUUUAUUAAAAUUUGAAUUUAACUUUUAAGUGAAAAGGCUUAAAUUUAUCAAGUGGACGAUAAGACCCUAUAAAGCUUUAUAAAUUUGGAAAAAUUUUUAAAAUUUAAUAAUAAAAAAAAAUUUUUUAGAAGUUAUUAUGUUGGGGCGACACAGAUAAAAAUUUAAGUAACUGUCAGGAAUAAAAACAAUUAUUUUUGGUUUUUAUGAUCCUUUACUAAAGAUUAAAAGAUUAAGUUACUUUAGGGAUAACAGCGUUAUUCUUUUUAAGAGUCCUUAUCAAAAAAAGAGUUUGCGACCUCGAUGUUGAAUCAUAAAAUCUUUGCAGUGCAGCAGCUGUAAGAAGAAGGUCUGUUCGACCUUUAAAAUUGUACG
rnacentral:rRNA from 1 species